UAAAUUAAUUAACAAUUACUACAAAUUACUCCAAAAUUUACAUUUUAGAAAAUAACUAGGGUCUAGGGCUUUUCUUUCAUUGCCGUCUUCCCGUCAGCCUCCACUCCACACGACCACUCCAGGUGCUUCCCGUCUGCCGUGCCUCCCUCCGGCCACCGGCGCUGACCACCAGCUAGCGCCGCCGUCUGAAAUACUCACGACCACUCCAGGUGCUUCUCGGAUUUCAAGUUUUCAGAGUUUUCAACUCUGAAAUACUCUUCCCACCGACCACCAGCUAGCGCCGCCGUCUGCUACGAACCAGCGCCACCGUUUGGAACUAACCGGCGCCGCCGCUGCCCCCUAAGACAGCAGUUCAAAUUCGAUUUGAGGCAUAAGCAAAUGGGCGGUUCGAAGAAGAAGAAGAAGCGGAGCGGUGGUAGAGGCCACCGCGCCCAGUCAAAGGACCAUCACUCGACUGACGCUGAUAAUUCUAAAAUUUUAACCAAGGAAGUAACUGCGUUGUGAGUUUUUUCUUAUUUUUGAAUUUUUAACGAACACAUUUUAUAUUAUUGUUGUUUUAAUCAUUCUAGUGAACUACUAUGUGUAGAUAUUUUGUUCAGUGAAUGUACGGUCAAUAGUUUGAGCUCCUGAAUCACCUCCUCGUAUCAACAUCAAGCUCAGGUUCCAGAUUUGUGAUAAUUCAUGGACAUUAAACCUUAGGCUUCAUGUUCUUGGUGCAGAUGCUUACCAGGACCUUAGUGAUAGCCAGAGGAGGAGGACGAUUACUAG